rnacentral:tRNA from 1 species
GGGGUUGUAGCUCAGUGGUAGAGUGCUUGUCUUGCACGCAUGAGGCCCUGGGUUCAAUCCUCAGCACCA